rnacentral:rRNA from 1 species
GAUGAACGCUGGCGGCGUGCCUAAUACAUGCGAGUCGAGCGAACGGACGAGAAGCUUGCUUCUCUGAUGUUAGCGGCGGACGGGUGAGUAACACGUGGAUAACCUACCUAUAAGACUGGGAUAACUUCGGGAAACCGGAGCUAAUACCGGAUAAUAUUUUGAACCGCAUGGUUCAAAAGUGAAAGACGGUCUUGCUGUCACUUAUAGAUGGAUCCGCGCUGCAUUAGCUAGUUGGUAAGGUAACGGCUUACCAAGGCAACGAUGCAUAGCCGACCUGAGAGAGUGAUCGGCCACACUGGAACUGAGACACGGUCCAGACUCCUACGGGAGGCAGCAGUAGGGAAUCUUCCGCAAUGGGCGAAAGCCUGACGGAGCAACGCCGCGUGAGUGAUGAAGGUCUUCGGAUCGUAAAACUCUGUUAUUAGGGAAGAACAUAUGUGUAAGUAACUGUGCACAUCUUGACGGUACCUAAUCAGAAAGCCACGGCUAACUACGUG